rnacentral:rRNA from 1 species
GACGAACGCUGGCGGCGUGCUUAACACAUGCGAGUCGAACGGAAAGGCCCUGCUUUUGUGGGGUGCUCGAGUGGCGAACGGGUGAGUAACACGUGAGUAACCUGCCCUUGACUUUGGGAUAACUUCAGGAAACUGGGGCUAAUACCGGAUAGGAGCUCCUGCUGCAUGGUGGGGGUUGGAAAGUUUCGGCGGUUGGGGAUGGACUCGCGGCUUAUCAGCUUGUUGGUGGGGUAGUGGCUUACCAAGGCUUUGACGGGUAGCCGGCCUGAGAGGGUGACCGGCCACAUUGGGACUGAGAUACGGCCCAGACUCCUACGGGAGGCAGCAGUGGGGAAUAUUGCACAAUGGGCGGAAGCCCGAUGCAGCAACGCCGCGUGCGGGAUGACGGCCUUCGGGUUGUAAACCGCUUUCGCCUGUGACGAAGCGUGAGUGACGGUAAUGGGUAAAGAAGCACCGGCUAACUACGUG